CCUACGGGGGGCUGCAGUAGGGAAUCUUCCACAAUGGGCGAAAGCCUGAUGGAGCAACGCCGCGUGGGUGAAGAAGGUCUUCGGAUCGUAAAACCCUGUUGUUAGAGAAGAAAGUGCGUGAGAGUAACUGUUCACGUUUCGACGGUAUCUAACCAGAAAGCCACGGCUAACUACGUGCCAGCAGCCGCGGUAAUACGUAGGUGGCAAGCGUUAUCCGGAUUUAUUGGGCGUAAAGUGCACGCAGGCGGUCUUUUAAGUCUGAUGUGAAAGCCUUCGGCUUAACCGGAGUAGUGCAUUGGAAACUGGGAGACUUGAGUGCAGAAGAGGAGAGUGGAACUCCAUGUGUAGCGGUGAAAUGCGUAGAUAUAUGGAAGAACACCAGUGGCGAAAGCGGCUCUCUGGACUGUAACUGACGCUGAGGUUCGAAAGCGUGGGUAGCAAACAGGAUUAGAUACCCCAGUAGUC
rnacentral:rRNA from 1 species